AGUGAACGCUGGCGGUAGGCCUAACACAUGCAAGUCGAACGGCAGCACAGUAAGAGCUUGCUCUUACGGGUGGCGAGUGGCGGACGGGUGGGGAAUACAUCGGAAUCUACUUUUUCGUGGGGGAUAACGUAGGGAAACUUACGCUAAUACCGCAUACGACCUACGGGUGAAAGCAGGGGAUCUUCGGACCUUGCGCGAUUGAAUGAGCCGAUGUCGGAUUAGCUAGUUGGCGGGGUAAAGGCCCACCAAGGCGACGAUCCGUAGCUGGUCUGAGAGGAUGAUCAGCCACACUGGAACUGAGACACGGUCCAGACUCUUACGGGAGGCAGCAGUGGGGAAUAUUGGACAAUGGGCGCAAGCCUGAUCCAGCCAUACCGCGUGGGUGAAGAAGGCCUUCGGGUUGUAAAGCCCUUUUGUUGGGAAAGAAAAGCAGCAGGUUAAUACCCCGCUGUUCUGACGGUACCCAAAGAAUAAGCACCGGCUAACUUCGUG
rnacentral:rRNA from 1 species